GAUGAAGAACGCAGCGAAAUGCGAUAAGUAAUGUGAAUUGCAGAAUUCAGUGAAUCAUCGAAUCUUUGAACGCACAUUGCGCCCCUUGGUAUUCCGAGGGGCAUGCCUGUUCGAGCGUCAUUACACCACUCAAGCUAUGCUUGGUAUUGGGCGUCGUCCUUAGUUGGGCGCGCCUUAAAGACCUCGGCGAGGCCACUCCGGCUUUAGGCGUAGUAGAAUUUAUUCGAACGUCUGUCAAAGGAGAGGACCUCUGCCGACUGAAACCUUUAUUUUUCUAGGUUGACCUCGGAUCAGGUAGGGAUACCCGCUGAACUUAAGCAUAUCAAUAAGCGGAGGA
rnacentral:misc_RNA from 1 species